rnacentral:rRNA from 1 species
UACGUAGGGGGCUAGCGUUGUCCGGAAUCAUUGGGCGUAAAGCGCGCGUAGGCGGCCCGGUAAGUCCGCUGUGAAAGUCAAAGGCUCAACCUUUGAAUGUCAGCGGAUACUGCCGGGCUAGAGUCCGGAAGAGGCGAGUGGAACUCCUGGUGUAGCGGUGGAAUGCGCAGAUAUCAGGAGGAACACCAAUGGCGAAGGCAGAUCUCUGGGCCGUAACUGACGCUGAGGAGCGAAAGCAUGGGGAGCGAACAGG